CACGGUUAUGUAUUAAUGCUUUUCACUAACAGAAAUACAACUUCAACCAGCACAGUGCACGCCGCCACAACAGUCCGACCCACGUCCCUGAUAUCGACUAGCUCCCGGCCGAAUGCACAUACGCGGAGCCAAUCAGUCCGAAUGUGACCUGCAGCUUACAAUUGCUGUGUCGCAUGGCGCAUGGCACAGGACGAUUCCUAGCAGCUGUCGGCUGGAGUGGAGAAACAGCACGUUGCGACACACCGCGCCGGCGACAGAGCUCAGCAGGGCUGGUUGGAGGCUGGAGCCGGAGGUAAGGGCGGACACAGACACAGACAUUGCAGGACACAGGGCUGCGGAGUCGGAGUCGGAGUCGGUCGGAGUCGACAGUUGUGACCGGAGUCGGAGUCGGAGUCGAUUUUAGAAACUCGAGCCGGAGUCGGAGUCGGAGUCACCGAAAAUCUGUCGACUCCGCAGCCCUGGUAGGUCUGCGGAGUCGGAGCCGGGAGUUGGAGUCGGUCGGAGUCGACAAUUCUGCCCGGAGUCGGAGUCGGAGCUGGUUUUUGAAAGCCGGAGUCGGAGUCGGAGUCGGAGUCGCCGAAAAUCCAUCGACUCCGCAGCCCUGGAGGACAAAUAACAGGAUGUCAGUUAGGGAUAUAAUUCAAGACGAAUGAUUCCAGACGGACUGAAAUAAUACACAUUUUGCUCACUUGGAUACCAACUUCAAACUUGACGUUUAUGUAUAGCACCAUGGAAACAAUGGGCACACAGGAAAGAAACAAAAGAUGAGGCUUUUUUAAAUCAAGGAAGUAAAACAGCCCGAAGUGCAGACAAGCACAUACUUUUGGUAAUAGCUAUCAGCUGUCCUACUCCUCUUCUCCCUUCAUCAACUACUGGACACAUUUGAAGCAUCAUAUAUAGCACCAAUGUCCAUAACCAAAGCUUGCAAGUAGUUUUAACUUCUAUGAAGCCAAGGGAAAUGUGCCUACAUCAUGCAUGUAAACUCAAAAUUACACAUGCAUGACAAAGGAAGCUUAUGUAAAGAGAAUAGCUGACAAAAGCAUCUCAUGGUUAAAAUUAUUCAAAACUGCACACAGGGCAAACAUAAAAAGCAGCAAGUGUACUGUUCUGUUAUGCUAAGAAAUAAUCCAAAACAAAAUACAAUCUUUUCAUGUUUGAACUGGUUGUUCUUCUAUGCCCCUUCAUCCAUAUCUUGAUUACAGAUGGGCUGUUACUGUAGGCUGAUGAAGUGACACUUGAUUGCCUUUGUGCGAGUUUCAGUUGCAGCGUCCUUGGUACUGCACUGGAAAGCAGAUUGAAUUGAAUGCCUCUGAAAGAUAGGAAUACAGGCAGGGUUAGCUGUAGUAGUGUCAAUGAUAAUAGACAUGACAUUUUUGUCCUUUGACAUACAUUUGUUGAAGUACAAAAAGGUACAAAAUAAAUUGGUUUGUUUCAAGACACGCACACUGCACAAAGUCGCACAGACAUUACACAGGCAUAUGAAAUUGGUACACAUAAAAUUUGAUGAUUAAAAAGGUCAAAACUUGCAAUAAUAAUUGAAGUAAAAGUUACAAUCACAAUCAUUUGAUUUAAAAUGACUUGACAUAAGUCACAAGACGCAACGCUCCUAUUCUUUUAUGCUUUCAUUAUCCUCCACAUAUCAACCAGCUUGAUACCAGGCUGUGCAAUAGUGUGUACAUAACCCCAUGUUGCCAUUUUAUUAGAGCAAGUGGGGUUAAAACAACAAUGCUAAUGUCAAACCCACAUCUGCAACCCGUACUGCAGUUUCAAUCACCUUACAAGCACACCUUCUGGCAGUUUGAUAGGCAGAAUGGUCAUUACUACUUUCCCCUCAUAUUCAACACAUAUUCCCUUUAUACAAAUACAGUUUAGACCUGGUUAUGGCAACCAUUUUCGAGAAAAGAUAUCAGUUGGGCAAACUACGGGGAGGUAAUCACGAACUUGAUUAAUCAAGUUCAUGAUUAUGACGUCAUGAAAAUGGGGCGUGGCAUGACCAUAUAAGGAGUUGUAAUCAAGAUUUUGAUUACUUUUCGUGCACCGAACUAUUCAAGUGUUUCGUUUCGAUUGUUAUAAUGUCCAUAUCGACACUAUUUUUUACCAGGUGAAACGCAAUAUUCUAUUCUCCCGAAAUGAUAUGGACCGGUAGCAGUGGGAUAUGUACUUUAGCUCAUAUGGCGAAAGAUAAACUGCUAGCCUAACUUUUUCAGAAAAGUGAUAUUUUUUAAAGCCCUUUUUAGGCGGAUAUUAUUCUUUUAUCCACAUUUUUACGUUUCUAAUUUAAAAAUAAAUCAUUGAACAUUCAUUUUACACACGUCUUAAAUUGGUCGUAAUAAAGAUUUCUUCGAAAAGGCACCGUCGCCUAUUAGCACGCCGCCAUUUGUCGUGUUGUCGGUGUGUGGGUGAGGCCGGAAAUUGGCGCCGAAUUAUUGGUAAUUUGGUUCUUAUAGGUAAAAUUAGCAUUUUUUAAAUAAUUUAGAUCAUGUUUGUAAAUUUGAAUAGCCUCAACCUUCAUGUGCGUCGGUAUAAAUGUUGAAAUAUCGCGAUAGAAUUUAUGAUGAUUUUGUAGGCUAUCAUGGCGCAUGCUUUCCGCGGUAUAAUAUUUUAAUUAUUUACGAAAUGUAUUGCUAUUUACAGGGUUAUAGUUUAUUUUAAAGUAAAUAAUAGGCCUAUUUUGUUGUUUGGGGCAAUUGUUGAUUAGAGAGGCACAUUUAACUGCCCACAGUAGCUAGAAAUGUUAUGGCCUGGCAGGUUGUGCGAAAGUUUGCAGUGUGGCCAUAUCAUUUAUUCAGUCAAUUGUCUGUGCAAGCAGGGACCAAUAGGAUAUAUCUUCUAGUUUUUAAUGAAAAGUUAAAUUUGGGCUUAUGCUAGGUUAUUCAUACUUGCAUUCUAAGUGGCUUUGUCAUGGAUUCAUAGAACAAUAAUAGAAGUGGUGACUGCAAAUGUGUCUGUUUUUCCACAGCUCAUCAAAGCACCACCUCCUCGCUGUAGCAGUGGGCGUCGCCGUCACCACAGUAUUGUUCAGGAAGCUCGUGAUAAUGGUACCUAUGGUCUCACGUUGAGGAACGCUCAAUCAAAAAAUGAUAUGAUGAAUUUCUUUGGAAUUAAGCGGACUAAGUACAGCUACAUUUGUAUUAUGUGCAUCGCUCAUGCAAGACAGCAGGCCAGGAUGCAGGGACACACAGCUGCAGGGGAUGAGCUGGAGAACCUGCAUCGCAUUCUCCAAGAGACGACGGAAGCCAACGGAGGCCCGCAAAACUUUCCAUCCCAUAAUCGUGAAUGGAGAGCUGGGCGGGGAAGACGCGGUAUUCGUCGAGGCCCAGGAGGUGGUAUCGGCGCCACCAGACCAAGCAUUCCUGCUGUGGCAGGCCACCUUUUGGAUUUUUAACAUCAAAACUCCUAAAGACAUGGUCAAUCUGAAUUGGUUUCUGAGAACCAAAGUGUUUGGUGGGGUGAAGGCCGAUGUGCCGCCAUCAGCGGCGGCCAUUGCGACCGUGAAGCAAGUGGAGUGAGAUCCCCGUAGAGCAUGCCGCUGCGGGGUGUCGGAAGCGUUUGCCAAUUCUUUGAGCCUUCCACUGGCAGGACUAUAAAUACACAUUUCUUGAAAUAUA
rnacentral:lncRNA from 1 species